rnacentral:rRNA from 1 species
GACAUAGGUCGCAAACGUUAUCCGGAAUUAUUGGGCGUAAAGGGUGCGUAGAUGGUUCAGUAAGUUACUGGUGGGAAAUCGAGGCCCAACCUCGUGGAAGUUAGUAAUACUGUUGAACUUGAGUGCAGGAGAGGUUAACGGAACUUCAUGUGGAGCGGUAAAAUGCGUAGAUAUAGGGAAGAACACCAAUAAGGCGAAGGCAGUUAACUAUUCUACUCCUGACAUUGAGGCAUGAAAGCGUGGGGAGCAAAACGG